rnacentral:tRNA from 117 species
UCGGGAUAGCUCAGCUGGUAGAGCAGAGGACUGAAAAUC